AAUAUAACGAAAUCAUGCAUUAUCAGAUAUAACUUAUAAUCAAAGCAAUUGAAAACAAAAAAAUAAAGAAAUCAUGCAUUAUCAGAUAUAACUUAUAAUCAAAGCAAUGAAAACAAAAAUAUAAUGAAAUCAUGCAUUAUCACAUAUAACUUAUAAUCAAAACAAUUGAAAAAAAAUAAAGAAACCAUGGAUAAUUUACCUAAGUCAC
rnacentral:lncRNA from 1 species